UGGCUGAGCGGUAAAGCACUCGGCCUCUGAACCGUGAGUCCCGGGUUCAAAUCCCUG
rnacentral:tRNA from 1 species